CUGUUUCUGGAUGGACUCGAAACUCCUUUGUGCCACUGCUGAGUUGGAAGGUGCUGAUGGAGCAGGAAAGCCUCAAAUGCUUCUGGAGAGACCAUGGUGGUGAGGGCACUGCCUGUACUGGCUCACCCUGACUUGUCCCCCUGCACUGUGUGGGACCAUGGAUCAUCCAAGGAGCUCUUAUCAUUCCCAAAAUGUCUACCUCUUCCCCCUGCUUCCCCAUGGUAUGUGCCUCUGAGUUCUGCAGGCAUCACAAGACUUCCUUCAGCACUCCUCCCUGAGGUGGUCUCUGCAAACUCAAGGAACAGUGCACUGGAAUUGGCAGUAUGACUGCCAAAAUUGCAUACGGACGAAGAUUCCUCCCAGACAAAAGAUGCCAGCAGAAGAAUGUCUCUGUG